rnacentral:rRNA from 1 species
CCUACGGGGGGCUGCAGUGGGGAAUAUUGGACAAUGGGGGCAACCCUGAUCCAGCCAUGCCGCGUGUGUGAAGAAGGCCCUCGGGUUGUAAAGCACUUUCAGUGAGGAAGAACGCCUGGUGGUUAAUACCCAUCAGGAAAGACAUCACUCACAGAAGAAGCACCGGCUAACUCCGUGCCAGCAGCCGCGGUAAUACGGAGGGUGCGAGCGUUAAUCGGAAUUACUGGGCGUAAAGCGCGCGUAGGUGGCUUGAUAAGCCGGUUGUGAAAGCCCCGGGCUCAACCUGGGAACGGCAUCCGGAACUGUCAAGCUAGAGUGCAGGAGAGGAAGGUAGAAUUCCCGGUGUAGCGGUGAAAUGCGUAGAGAUCGGGAGGAAUACCAGUGGCGAAGGCGGCCUUCUGGACUGACACUGACACUGAGGUGCGAAAGCGUGGGUAGCAAACAGGAUUAGAUACCCUGGUAGU